UACAGAGGGUGCAAGCGUUGUUCGGAAUUACUGGGCGUAAAGCGCGUGUAGGCGGCCCUGCAAGUCGGGUGUGAAAUCCCACGGCUCAACCGUGGAAGUGCAUUCGAAACUGCAGGGCUAGAGUCCUGGAGAGGAAGGUGGAAUGCUUGGUGUAGAGGUGAAAUUCGUAGAUAUCAAGCGGAACACCGGUGGCGAAGGCGGCCUUCUGGACAGUGACUGACGCUGAGACGCGAAAGCGUGGGGAGCAAACAGG
rnacentral:rRNA from 1 species